rnacentral:rRNA from 1 species
GUGUCAGCAGCCGCGGUAAUACAGAGGGUGCGAGCGUUAAUCGGAGUAACUGGGCGUAAAGGGCGCGUAGGUGGAUGAUCAAGUGAGAUGUGAAAUCCCUGGGCUUAACCUAGGAAUGGCAUCUUAGACUGGUUGUCUUGAGUGCGGUAGAGGGUAGCGGAAUUUCCGGUGUAGCGGUGAAAUGCGUAGAGAUCGGAAGGAACACCCGUGGCGAAGGCGGCUACCUGGACUGAGACUGACACUGAGGCGCGAGAGCGUGGGGAGCGAACAGGAUUAGAUACCCGCGUAGUCC